rnacentral:misc_RNA from 1 species
GAUGAAGAACGUAGUGAAAUGCGAUAAGUAAUGUGAAUUGCAGAAUUCCGUGAAUCAUCGAAUCUUUGAACGCACAUUGCGCCCCCUGGUAUUCCGGGGGGCAUGCCUGUCCGAGCGUCAUUGCAACCUUCAAGCGCGGCUUGUGUGUUGGGUCUCGUCCCCCGUGGACGGGCCCGAAAGGCAGUGGCGGCGUCCCGACAUGGUGCCCGAGCGUAUGGGAAUCCUCUUCCGCUCGAAUCGGCCCAUGCGGCGCUGGUCGUAACCAAAGUUUUUACCGGUUGACCUCGGAUCAGGUAGGGAUACCCGCUGAACUUAAGCAUAUCAAUAAGCGGAGGA